UUUAGUGUAGCCCGGUGUCCAAUUGGCUAGUGCUGUGGCCAUUGGUUCCACAGGCUCCAGGUUCGAAUCCUGGCAAUGAAA